rnacentral:rRNA from 1 species
UACAGAGGUCCCAAGCGUUGUUCGGAUUCACUGGGCGUAAAGGGUGCGUAGGUGGUUAGGUAAGUCUGAUGUGAAAUCUCCGGGCUCAACCCGGAAAUGGCAUUGGAAACUAUUUGACUAGAGGAGUGGAGGGGGGACUGGAAUUCCCGGUGUAGCGGUGAAAUGUGUAGAGAUCGGAGGAACACCGUGGCGAAGGCGGGUCUCUGGGCAAUUCUGACGCUGAGGCGCGAAAGCGUGGGAGCAACGGG